GACUGUUGUGACAACGGAGGGAUCAUUACCGAGUUUUACACUCCCAAACGAAAUAAAUCAAAACUUUCAACAACGGAUCUCUUGGUUCUGGCAUCGAUGAAGAACGCAGCAAAAUGCGAUAAGUAAUGUGAAUUGCAGAAUUCAGUGAAUCAUCGAAUCUUUGAACGCACAUUGCGCCCGCCAGUAUUCUGGCGGGCAUGCCUGUUCGAGCGUCAUUUCAACCCUCAAGCACAGCUUGGUGUUGGGACUCGCGUUAAUUCGCGUUCCCCAAAUUGAUUGGCGGUCACGUCGAGCUUCCAUAGCGUAGUAGUAAAACCCUCGUUACUGGUAAUCGUCGCGGCCACGCCGUUAAACCCCAACUUCUGAAUGUUGACCUCGGAUCAGGUAGGAAUACCCGCUGAACUUAAGCAUAUCAAUAAGCGGAGGAAAAGAAACCAACAGGGAUUGCCCUAGUAACGGCGAGUGAAGCGGCAACAGCUCAAAUUUGAAAUCUGGCUCUCGGGCCCGAGUUGUAAUUUGUAGAGGAUACUUUUGAUGCGGUGCCUUCCGAGUUCCCUGGAACGGGACGCCAUAGAGGGUGAGAGCCCCGUCUGGUUGGAUGCCAAAUCUCUGUAAAGUUCCUUCAACGAGUCGAGUAGUUUGGGAAUGCUGCUCUAAAUGGGAGGUAUAUGUCUUCUAAAGCUAAAUACCGGCCAGAGACCGAUAGCGCACAAGUAGAGUGAUCGAAAGAUGAAAAGCACUUUGAAAAGAGAGUUAAAAAGUACGUGAAAUUGUUGAAAGGGAAGCGUUUAUGACCAGACUUGGGGCUUGGUUAAUCAUCUGGGGUUCUCCCCAGUGCACUUUUCCAGUCCAGGCCAGCAUCAGUUUUCCCCGGGGGAUAAAGGCCGGCGGGAAUGUGGCUCUCUUCGGGGAGUGUUAUAGCCCACCGUGUAAUACCCUGGGGGGGGACUGAGGUUCGCGCAUCUGCAAGGAUGCUGGCGUAAUGGUCAUCAAAAGACCUGUCUAGAAAA
rnacentral:rRNA from 1 species